rnacentral:rRNA from 1 species
AACGAACGCUGGCGGCAUGCCUAACACAUGCAAGUCGAACGAGACCUUCGGGUCUAGUGGCGCACGGGUGCGUAACGCGUGGGAACCUGCCCUUAGGUUCGGAAUAACUCCCCGAAAGGGGUGCUAAUACCGGAUAAUGUCUUCGGACCAAAGAUUUAUCGCCUUUGGAUGGGCCCGCGUUGGAUUAGCUAGUUGGUAGGGUAAAAGCCUACCAAGGCGACGAUCCAUAGCUGGUCUGAGAGGAUGAUCAGCCACACUGGGACUGAGACACGGCCCAGACUCCUACGGGAGGCAGCAGUGGGGAAUAUUGGACAAUGGGCGAAAGCCUGAUCCAGCAAUGCCACGUGAGUGAUGAAGGCCUUAGGGUUGUAAAGCUCUUUUACCCGGGAUGAUAAUGACAGAACCGGGAGAAUAAGCUCCGGCUAACUCCGUG